UACGGGGGGGGCAAGCGUUGUUCGGAAUUACUGGGCGUAAAGGGCUCGUAGGUGGCCAACUAAGUCAGACGUGAAAUCCCUCGGCUUAACCGGGGAACUGCGUCUGAUACUGGAUGGCUUGAGAUUGGGAGAGGGACGCGGAAUUCCAGGUGUAGCGGUGAAAUGCGUAGAUAUUGGGAGGAACACCAGUGGCGAAGGCGGCUCACUGGACCGGUACUGACGCUGAGGCGCGAAAGCGUGGGGAGCAAACGGG
rnacentral:rRNA from 1 species